CCUCUUCCCCGCUGCCGCACAGAAACAGCAACCGCUCCAAUCGACGUAUCGGAUUGUUCGAAGUAUUCGGAAAGCGGAGUUUAAACAGAUCUGGAUCCACCUACUGGGGAAGAGAAUUCAUCAACUGAUUAAAUCCUUGGACUAAACCAGGCCAAGAGAGAAGGGGUUAGGCUGUGCAACUAAGUGGCUUACUUCAAAAAUACUCUCCAGACUUCAGUCGAGGCUCGGGUGGAUAAAGACGGUUCCUAUUUAAUGGACUAAUACAUUCCUGAAUCCUGCAUACAGUGGUAAUCAGGACCCAAGGAGAUAGAAUAAAAUACUUUUCCUUUCUCAGGUGGAUAGGAAGAAAUUGAAUUUUCAGGGCUUAUUAAUUUUCUCUGCAUGUCGUCAAUGUUUUUGCUAGUGGGUUCAGGUGAAAAGGUCUGUUUUAUGAGGCCAAUUUUUAUAGCAAACUUGGGGAGAUCCCCUUUUGCAAAUGAGGGCUUGGUGUUCUUGCAGGGUGUACACAUCUUUUCUGCACUGCAGUGCAGCCAUCAGCUGUCAUUUUUUUUUAUUAAAUGGAAUUUGUUAAGCACUUACUAUGAGUCAGGUACUGUACUAAGUGCUGGGGUAGAUAGGUAGAUACAAGUUGAUCAGGUUAACUGAUUUUACUGUACCAUUCAGUAUCACAAAAACAAAAGUCCUUGUGAUUGUGAAGGGUCAUAAUAAAGCUAAAUAUUAUCAACA